rnacentral:rRNA from 1 species
CCAGCAGCCGCGGUAAUACGUAGGGGGCGAGCGUUGUCCGGAAUUAUUGGGCGUAAAGGGUUCGCAGGCGGUCUGAUAAGUCAGAUGUGAAAGGCGUAGGCUCAACCUACGUAAGCAUUUGAAACUGUCAGACUUGAGUUAAGGAGAGGAAAGUGGAAUUCCUAGUGUAGCGGUGAAAUGCGUAGAUAUUAGGAGGAAUACCAGUGGCGAAGGCGACUUUCUGGACUGUAACUGACACUGAGGCAUGAAAGCGUGGGUAGCAAACAGGAUUAGAUACCCUGGUAGUCCACGCCGUAAACGAUGGGUACUAGGUGUAGGAGGUAUCGACCCCUUCUGUGCCGUCGUUAACACAAUAAGUACCCCGCCUGGGGAGUACGGUCGCAAGACUAAAAAUCAAAGGAAUUGACGGGGGCCCGCACAAGCAGCGGAGCAUGUGGUUUAAUUCGAAGCAACGCGAAGAACCUUACCUAGACUUGACAUCUCCUGAAUUACCCUUAACCGGGGAAGCCCCUUCGGGGCAAGAAGACAGGUGGUGCAUGGUUGUCGUCAGCUCCGUGUCGUGAGAUGUUGGGUUAAGUCCCGCAACGAGCGCAACCCUUAUUUUUAGUUGCUACCAUUUGGUUGAGCACUCUAAAGAGACUGCCCGGGUUAACCGGGAGGAAAGUGGGGAUGACGUCAAAUCAUCAUGCCCCUUAUGUCUAGGG